rnacentral:pre_miRNA from 1 species
UCUUCAUUUCCCGUGCUCUCUCGCCUCUUUGACCGGUGAGAUAGUACGUGAAAUGAAGAGA